UCGAACGGUCUACCUCGACAGAAACCUUCGGGUUGAAGACGAGAUCUAGAUAGUGGCGGACGGGUGAGUAACACGUGAAUAAUCUAUCCUCAAGUUUGGGAUAACCUGGCGAAAGUCGGGCUAAUCCGAGGUAAGCUGAGAGUGUGGCAUCACACAAUCAGAAAAGGUGGCAUUGCCAUCGUUUGAGGAGGAGUUCGCGGUAGAUUAGCUAGCUGGUGAGGUAACGGCUCACCAGGGCAACAAUCUAUAGCUGGUCUGAGAGGACGAUCAGUCACACUGGAACUGAGACACGGUCCAGACUCCUACGGGAGGCAGCAGUGGGGAAUCUUCCACAAUGGGCGCAAGCCUGAUGGAGCAACGCCGCGUGAAUGAAGAAGGCCUUAGGGUCGUAAAGUUCUGUCCUUAGGGAAGAACCGUGGGUAUAGUAAAUGCUACCCACCUGACGGUACCUUUGGAGGAAGCACUGGCUAACUACGUGCCAGCAGCCGCGGUAAUACGUAGAGUGCAAGCGUUGUCCGGAAUUAUUGGGCGUAAAGGGUACGCAGGCGGAUAAUCAAGUCAAGCGUGAAAGGUGUCGGCUUAACCGACAGACUGCGUUUGAAACUGGUUAUCUUGAGUGUAACAGAGGAGAGUGGAAUUCCUAGUGUAGUGGUGAAAUACGUAGAUAUUAGGAAGAACACCAGUGGCGAAGGCGACUCUCUGGGUUAACACUGACGCUGAGGUACGAAAGCUGGGGGAGCGAACGGGAUUAGAUACCCCGGUAGUCCCAGCCGUAAACGA
rnacentral:rRNA from 1 species